rnacentral:rRNA from 1 species
GUACAUGCAGUCGAGCGGACAGAUGGGAGCUUGCUCCCUGAUGUUAGCGGCGGACGGGUGAGUAACACGUGGGUAACCUGCCUGUAAGACUGGGAUAACUCCGGGAAACCGGGGCUAAUACCGGAUGGUUGUUUGAACCGCAUGGUUCAGACAUAAAAGGUGGCUUCGGCUACCACUUACAGAUGGACCCGCGGCGCAUUAGCUAGUUGGUGAGGUAACGGCUCACCAAGGCAACGAUGCGUAGCCGACCUGAGAGGGUGAUCGGCCACACUGGGACUGAGACACGGCCCAGACUCCUACGGGAGGCAGCAGUAGGGAAUCUUCCGCAAUGGACGAAAGUCUGACGGAGCAACGCCGCGUGAGUGAUGAAGGUUUUCGGAUCGUAAAGCUCUGUUGUUAGGGAAGAACAAGUGCCGUUCAAAUAGGGCGGCACCUUGACGGUACCUAACCAGAAAGCCACGGCUAACUACGUGCCAGCAGCCGCGGUAAUACGUAGGUGGCAAGCGUUGUCCGGAAUUAUUGGGCGUAAAGGGCUCGCAGGCGGUUUCUUAAGUCUGAUGUGAAAGCCCCCGGCUCAACCGGGGAGGGUCAUUGGAAACUGGGGAACUUGAGUGCAGAAGAGGAGAGUGGAAUUCCACGUGUAGCGGUGAAAUGCGUAGAGAUGUGGAGGAACACCAGUGGCGAAGGCGACUCUCUGGUCUGUAACUGACGCUGAGGAGCGAAAGCGUGGGGAGCGAACAGGAUUAGAUACCCUGGUAGUCCACGCCGUAAACGAUGAGUGCUAAGUGUUAGGGGGUUUCCGCCCCUUAGUGCUGCAGCUAACGCAUUAAGCACUCCGCCUGGGGAGUACGGUCGCAAGACUGAAACUCAAAGGAAUUGACGGGGGCCCGCACAAGCGGUGGAGCAUGUGGUUUAAUUCGAAGCAACGCGAAGAACCUUACCAGGUCUUGACAUCCUCUGACAAUCCUAGAGAUAGGACGUCCCCUUCGGGGGCAGAGUGACAGGUGGUGCAUGGUUGUCGUCAGCUCGUGUCGUGAGAUGUUGGGUUAAGUCCCGCAACGAGCGCAACCCUUGAUCUUAGUUGCCAGCAUUCAGUUGGGCACUCUAAGGUGACUGCCGGUGACAAACCGGAGGAAGGUGGGGAUGACGUCAAAUCAUCAUGCCCCUUAUGACCUGGGCUACACACGUGCUACAAUGGGCAGAACAAAGGGCAGCGAAACCCGCGAGGUUAAGCCAAUCCCACAAAUCGGUUUCAGUUUGGAAUGCAAUUUGCAACUCGACCGCGUGAAGCUGGAAACCCCUAGAAUCGCGGAACAAGAAGCCCCGGGUAAAAAGUCCCGGGCCUUGUACACACCGCCCGUCACACCACGAGAGUUUGUAACACCCGAAGUCGGUGAGGUAACCUUUAGGAGCCAGCCGCUAGAGAGUG